rnacentral:rRNA from 1 species
AUCGGGGAGCGAAGCUUGCUUUGCUCCGCCGGCGACCGGCGCACGGGUGAGUAACGCGUAUGCAACCUGCCCGUUUCAGCGGGAUAACCCGGAGAAAUCCGGCCUAAUACCGCAUGUGGCCGAGGGAAGGCAUCUUCUUUCGGCCAAAGGAGGCGACUCCGGAGACGGAUGGGCAUGCGUGACAUUAGCUUGUUGGCGGGGUAACGGCCCACCAAGGCGACGAUGUCUAGGGGUUCUGAGAGGAAGGUCCCCCACACUGGUACUGAGACACGGACCAGACUCCUACGGGAGGCAGCAGUGAGGAAUAUUGGUCAAUGGGCGAGAGCCUGAACCAGCCAAGUCGCGUGAAGGAUGACGGCCCUACGGGUUGUAAACUUCUUUUGUCAGGGAGCAAUUGGGUCCACGCGUGGGCUUAGCGAGAGUACCUGAAGAAAAAGCAUCGGCUAACUCCGUGCCAGCAGCCGCGGUAAUACGGAGGAUGCGAGCGUUAUCCGGAUUUAUUGGGUUUAAAGGGUGCGUAGGCGGAAUAUCAAGUCAGCGGUAAAAAUUCGGGGCUCAACCCCGUCGUGCCGUUGAAACUGAUGUUCUUGAGUGGGCGAGAAGUAUGCGGAAUGCGUGGUGUAGCGGUGAAAUGCAUAGAUAUCACGCAGAACUCCGAUUGCGAAGGCAGCAUACCGGCGCCCAACUGACGCUGAAGCACGAAAGCGUGGGUAUCGAACA